rnacentral:lncRNA from 1 species
AUACAACUAAAUAAAUUUAGUACAUUCGGAGAUUUCGCAGCAGCGUUUUUCAAAAAAGUAACGGCAUUUUUGUCUCAAACUUCCGUUACGCGAAUUGAUGUGGUAUUUGAUCGGUAUGAUGAUAUAUCGAUUAAGUUUAUGGAGUCAAAGUUACGAAGCAAAGGACGAAACACAAAACAAGUAAUGAUUACCAGUCCAUUGACAAAAAUCCCCGCUGAUUGCAAAGAUUUUUUUACUAGGAGAUUCUUUCGCUGAAGUUACUAAUUUAAAAUCUAAUCACUUAGAGGCUGAUUGCAGAAUAUUCUGUCAUAUAUUUCAAGGCGUGAAACAAAAUACUGAAACAGAAAUUAUCAUCCUCAGUCCUGACACAGACAUAUUUGUGUUAGGUAUUUAUUUCUGGCAUAAACUUGAAAAACUAGGGUGCCGGGGUUUGUGGUUUGAGGGAUCACGAAAGAAGAACCGUUUCCUUGGGUGUCAUUUGGCUGCACAGUCUCUUGGUGAAAAUGUAUGUAAUGUUCUUCCUGCAUUGCACUCUUUAACCGGCUGCGAUACCACAAGUCGCGUAGGUACGAAAAAACAAAUGCUAAGUGCCGCGAAGCUUAAUUUUGUUCAGAACGCACUCCUUACGUUGGGCGAUGGGCUUUUGUCAAGGCAGCAGUUCCAAGAUGUGGAGAAAGUUUGCACCUAAUUUCCAUACAUCAAACAACAGCCGAUGAACUUCGACAUAAAUUGAUAUGUCAAAACAUAGGCUUUGUCUUAAAUUUGUCAAGGUUUUGUCAUUUGUAUUUACAUUGUUUAAGAGCAUCAGCACAAAUAUAUCUUUGGAAAUACUCUUCUGAACCAAUGUUUGAGCCCAUUGAUUUCCUUAAAUUUGGCUAUGAGCUACGAGAAGGAAACUUAUAUCCAAAGCAAAUGACAAAAAAUGCUCUGCCUAUCUCUUUAAUUAACCCAUGCAAAUGUAAAUCUAACUGUCGCACAAUGUCAUGUUCUUGUAGAAAAGAAAA